GACGAACGCUGGCGGCGUGCUUAACACAUGCAAGUCGAACGGGAUUUAGUAAACAGAAACCUCGGUGGAAGAUUACUAAUGAGAGUGGCGAACGGGUGAGUAACGCGUGAGCAACCUGCCUAUGACAGUGGGAUAGCCUCGGGAAACCGGGAUUAAUACCGCAUAAAAUCGUAGAAACACAUGUUUUAACGGUCAAAGAUUUAUCGGUCAUAGAUGGGCUCGCGUCUGAUUAGCUAGUUGGUGAGAUAACAGCCCACCAAGGGGACGAUCAGUAGCCGGUCUUGAAGGAUGACCCGCACCAUUGGAACUGGGACACGUUCCAAAUCCCACGGGAAGGCGGAAGGGGGGAAAAUUCAACAAUGGGGAAACCCUGAUGCAGCGACGCCGCGUGAACGAAGAAGGUAUUCGUAUCGUAAAGUUCUGUCCUAUGGGAAGAUAAUGACAGUACCAUAGAAGAAAGCUCCGGCUAAAUACGUG
rnacentral:rRNA from 1 species